AACACCCACAAACAACGUCACGACGCAACGUGGUUAAACAGUACGUUUAUUAAAGUAACUGGGUGAACGACAUCGGAGCGGACUGCAAAUCGCAACGCUACUUUCUCGAGUGCAGAUACUCUUCGAGACGGCUAAACAACGUGUCCAACUCGCUGAGACCUUUCCGCGUACCGUUAUCCGAUUUCCUUUCCGCCUCCUGAGACAGCCGACUAAUCACGGACUUAUCUCCGCAACCUAACAGAGGCUGGGAGCCCGACAAAAGUAAAACAGCGUGCUAUGAACACGUUGUUACCUCUGCGCGGACAGCGCCGCCACAGAGACACUUACGCAUUGCCGCAUGUCUUUGUAGAUGGAUUCUAGCGUCGAGCGCAUACUAUGCAAUUCCGUCUUAAGUCCAGGAUAGACGUGGUCGCCUGCGGGGAACACGAUCUCCAGAUACCGCCUCAACAACCAGUCCAUGACGCUGCAUCCCCAACAGCCUUUGACCACCGUACCGUCGAGCCACACGGAGUAGUCGUCCUCACGUUGCUACAAGAGGAAAACUACGUCACCCGACACGCGGAAAAGAAAGACCGUCGCAAUAAACCGUACCUACGUGACCUACCAACGUAGGUUUUACUCGAUGAAAGGUGACGCGGAGAUCUUGCAAUCUGGUCGCGUAAUCCUCCGGACGACACUGCGGCUUUGUAUUCUUUAUCAUCGUCGUCGUCGUCGUCGUCGCCGCCGGCUUCGCCUCCUCGGAAGCGCCUAGAAAAAAGACGAUCAGGACCAGAGAGGAAGAGACCAUCACCGACAGCAUCGCCGCAGCAUGCCGCCCCAAUCCGCCGCCCAACUGCGCGUCCCAGAUACCACUCGUAGACUGUCAGCCUCGCGAGGAGACACCGCGGACCGGGGAAACGGAUAAGUUUACGAACAGAAAUCUCAAGAGAAAGACGCUGACCCGGCAAGUACCGUCACGGAGACACGGUGGUUUUUAUUGAAUUUCCAGUGUAUCGAGCCACCGUGAUGCAGGUACGGUGGUUUUAUGUGAAGUGCCGCUAUCUAUAGGCGAUGUGUUCCCUGACGGUGUGUGUUUUUUGGGGAUAGACAACGUGGUUCUUGUACGUGGUUUUUACCCUGCUCAAAAAAGUCACGUUUUCCUUACACGGUGUUGUGUC
rnacentral:lncRNA from 1 species